rnacentral:rRNA from 1 species
GGGUGUAGAAUUCCAGGUGUAGCGGUGAAAUGCGUAGAGAUCUGGAGGAAUACCGAUGGCGAAGGCAGCACCCUGGCAUAAUACUGACACUGAGGUUCGAAAGCGUGGGUAGCAAACAGGAUUAGAUACCCUGGUAGUCCACGCCGUAAACGAUGUCUACUAGCCGUUGGGGUCCAUGAGACUUUAGUGGCGCAGUUAACGCGAUAAGUAGACCGCCUGGGGAGUACGGCCGCAAGGUUAAAACUCAAAUGAAUUGACGGGGGCCCGCACAAG